rnacentral:rRNA from 1 species
AGAGCGAACGCUGGCGGCAUGCUUAACACAUGCAAGUCGCACGGGCAGGGGCAACUCUGUCAGUGGCGGACGGGUGAGUAACGCGUAGGUAUCUAUCCUUGGGUGGGGGACAACUGUGGGAAACUACAGCUAAUACCGCAUGAUGACCGAGGUCCAAAGCUCGCGAGAGCGCCUGGGGAGGAGCCUGCGUACGAUUAGCUAGUUGGUAGGGGUAAAGGCCUACCAAGGCGACGAUCGUUAGCUGGUCUGAGAGGAUGAUCAGCCACAUUGGGACUGAGACACGGCCCAAACUCCUACGGGAGGCAGCAGUGGGGAAUAUUGGACAAUGGGCGCAAGCCUGAUCCAGCAAUGCCGCGUGUGUGAAGAAGGUCUUCGGAUUGUAAAGCACUUUCGACGGGGACGAUGAUGACGGUACCCGUAGAAGAAGCCCCGGCUAACUUCGUGCCAGCAGCCGCGGUAA